ensembl:lncRNA
GGCUGCGGCGCCGCGGACCACUGGAGGCGCAGCGCCGCCGCCGCCGCCGCCGCCGCCGCCGCCGCUGUGGGUGCCGGAGACCGCGGCUCCACGCAGGCGGCGCCCGCGCCUCGGCUCCCCGGCCGGCCCGCGCGCCCGUCCGCCGGGGCCGUCUCCCGCCUCCCGUCGCUGCCACCACACCAUCGGCUGCACCGUUGCUCGUCUUCCCGGAAUACAAAGCCCGAAUCCAUGUUCACCUUGAAUCUUCACAAUAUUUUGGAGCAGAUGUUUUUAUCCUCGUAUUAUAGAAUAGAAAAUUGAAGUGCAGAUGUUGAACAGUUUACCCAAAACCGAAAAUAAGAAAAGAAAUGAAACCGUAUUUUUAGAAGUAAAAUGUGAUGUCGCAGAAGCAUCAUCAGUUGAGUUGCAUACACAGCCGGACUGUCUCUUGUAGUUCGGCUUCUGUUGCUGACAUCAGGAUUGUCUCCUGAAAUGGGAUUUUCCUGUCGAUUUUGGAUUUUUUGCAUGUUGCCUAGACACUCCAUGGGAAAAUGCAGUUACAGGAAGUUGCUAGUGUGCGGCUGAGCAGUGAAAGCAUCUGAAAAGAUUGCUCUUGUGGGAUCACUGGAUUGUGUCCAUUAAGCCAAGUUCUUGCCCCCAGAAUGCUGGUUCUGUUAUGGGCUUAGCUCAGAGGUAAUUGACUCUUGAGCCCCCUGAGGCAAGUCAAGGACUCCCUGUGGUAAAGAACCUCUUUGUCUCCCCUGCAUUCUGGGGCUUGGUUGUUUCUACUAGACUAUUCACAUCGACUGUAAAUUCUAACCACCAUAAAACAAGCCUCUGGAAGGCCCACUUGUGCACAGCCAAGAGAUUGCCACUUAUCAAAUGCCUAAAAAUCAAGAGAAAAAAGAAAAGAAGAGGAAAUAUAAACCUGAACAAAAAUAAAAAUAAAGAACUUGAGCAGCAUUGGUGAAAUUUAGGUGGGCCUGGGGUAUUGCCAGCUAUUUUAGUGUUGGGUAGAAGCAUCACUCGGAAAUACCUAAUAAGCACACCUAAUAAGCUUAUUAUAAGCAUAUUAGGUGCUACUUGAAGGAACUGCAUUGUAAAGUGAAUACAUAACCUCUUAAUAAGUGAGUCUGUCAUUAUUGAAUGAACCUGAUGGAAGGCACCCUGUGUGGGUAGAUGAGGCUGUGAGCAUGCUGUUUUGGAAAAGGCUUCCCUGCUCUUCACACGCCCUGGAUUGUAGCAGCAGCAGGAGCUGAGUUGGAAGUCGGUGUUUAUUUCUCCACUCACAGUGUGUGUUGUUAAAGAUCAACAAAGAAUAUCGUCCGAUUCAUGACCCUGAUGUCAGUUGUUUUAUGGUUAGAAAAGAACAGCAUGGUUCUAUUUCAUGAAAGAAGGCUCAGGAAGUACUGCUGUCUGUCCCUGCAACAGUGUCUGGUUCCUUUUCCUGCAAGGAGGAGAAUGGAGAUGUUUGUGUCUUCAGUCCCAGUGUUUCUCCUGAGCUUUGGUUUGGGGAUUUGAAGACAAAGAGUGUCAGACUUUUCUCUUGGAAUGUUUCAAACAUGUACAAGAUAAACAGAAUAGUAUGGUGGAUCCCCAUGUACCCAUCACCCAACCUCAAC